GCUCCUACUACAUGAGCCCUGUCUCUGUGCCUAACGUAGAGUUUUUCCUGCGUGUCUCUACGACUCGGUGCGUAAAAAGUAUUGAAUUGGGUACCCAGCCCUGGCCACCAUUGGCACCCAGUAGCGCAACCAAUGGCACACUAGCACUACGUGUGCAAGAGUUUUUUAGAAAUGUUCCAAUUCGCAUGCCAAAUGACAUCUUUCAGAGCCAUUAGCACUAGGGCUGGGUAUCGUUCAAAAAUAUUCAAUACCAUUACCGUUACCAAUACCGUGACUUCGAUACCGGGUCCUAAAUUAUACUUUUUUCUUCCAAUUCGAAUGCCAAAUGACCUCUUUCACAACAGUAGCACAGCUGGAUAUUUACAGUAGUUUGAUUGGCUUCCCCCAUUCCCCAUCCUCAUUUCAUGAAGACUCGCCCUACUCUGCCUCUGAUUGGCUAAUACUCGUCGCCUUCUUCACAGAAUGCAGCACGAAGGGGGGGAAAAAGAACACUGCCUGAGCAGGCUUGGUAUAUGAUACGAUAUUAAAAAGGUUGCCGACCCCUGGUAUAGACCAUCACGACCUGAAUCCCAUCCGAAAGAAACGCACCUUCUGAAGUGUAAGGCGUCUAACUGCAAGUGUUAAAAAGAGAUAAAAAAAACAAAGAAUGUGGGGUUGGUUAUUAUUUAGAGUUGAGUUUAUCUGGUUCUGCUUAUCGGUUCUCGUUCUUAUUGAAUCCUGGCUCCAAAUCUUGUCAUGCUGUUUGAGUAAGAAAAGAAACCAAAACUUGUUGAAAACAAAAGCCAGCUAUCUUGCCAUGUACAAGUUUGAUUGUAGCUAUAAUGAAUAUUUUCAAUGUCGAUUCAUUUGUUGAUCAUUUCCUCAAUCAAUGGAUUAGUUGUUUGGUAGGGCUGCACGGUAUGAGGAAAAUAUCUAAUUGCGACUAUUUUGACUGAUGUUGCAAUUGCGAUAUAAUUCACGAUAUUGGAGGGAAUGAUCAUUUUUGUAUCAUUAUUCUUAUUUUCAUUG